CUAAAACUAGACGGUACACAUAUCAUGCUUAGUUGUUGAAGAUGAUGAAAGGAGGAAUGAGGGGAACGGAAGAGAUUUCUUAACCCUAUUUCUAGAGUAGAUCUGGUGUUAUCUGUCACUAUCGUGAAGACAAGUAUUACUGAAUAGUGUCACCCCAUAAAAUGGCAACGACGCAAGAAAAGGCUCAACGCGUCGUUUGGCUUGCAACGACCAAGUCAAUGACUGUGGUGCAGCGUAAUUAAAGACGCCAGUACAGGACAGAAGUAUGGGGGUAUGUUAAGGAUAUCGUGUAUCGCACACCUACAGCAAACAUCACGGAUCUAAAUACCUGCAUAACGGACGCCAUCGCCACUGUAACUGUGGACAUUUUGCAGCGAACAUGGACAGAAAUCGAUAAUCGAUUAAACGUGCUGAGAGCCAUUAAUGUUAAUAAAGACUGUUUGAAUUGGUG